rnacentral:ncRNA from 1 species
UUUAAGCAUUGUGAAGGCCAAUGGCAGGUGUUGAUGCGAUGUGAUUUUUGCCCAGUGCUCUGAAUGUCAAAGUGAAGAAAUUCAAUGAAGCACAAUUAAACUGUAGGAGUUACUAUAACUCUCUUAAGUUAGCCAAAUGCCUCUCUGUCUCCAUCUCUGUCUCUCCCUUACCUCUCAAUUCUCUCUGUAUCUAUCUAAUAAAUUA